ACUGCCGUGUAUCGCAUCGGCUGUUCAACGGUCUUGAUGCGAAUCAGGUUACUGUGUGUCCCCCGUAAACCCCGGGAUGAAUGACGGAACAGAGGAAGAGAUAGUCCCCGUUGUGAUGGAGUCCUCGUCGUACUCCCAGGUAGUUUUCAACGAUGUUCCUCCAUCAUAUCCGCCAAACAUCGCAGUUAUGUGCCGUUACAAUCUCACCGGUGCUCUGGAGCCCAGCCCGAGGGACUGGAUCGGUAUCUGUAAAGUUGGUUUGAGUUCAACACAGAAGUAUUAUACCUACGUGUGGGUGGAACCUUGCCUGGAACAUGUCGGACCUGAACCACUAGUGCAACAGGUGGUUUUCAAAGGUAGAAUUCAAUCUGUUUUCCAAUCAUUGCACAUUUUAGAUUUCUCAUGUAUCUAUAACAUCUUUCCAGUAUUUUGCUU